AUUAACCUAUUAGCUCAGCUUAUCAUCUACUUUACUAUUUCUACAGGUACCCUUAUCACAAUGCUAGCCUCACACUGAUUUUUCAUCUGAACAGGCUUAGAAAGAAAUAUACUAGCCCUCGCCCCAAUCUUAAUUAAAAAAUAAAUCCCCGCUCCACAGAAGCAGCCACUAAAUAUUUCCUUAUACAGGCAACCACAUCUAUAGUCCUCAUAAUCGGUAUUCUCUCCAAUAAUCUGUUAUCUGGACAGUGAACAACAAUAAAUACUGUUAAUCAGUUUUCAUCCCUAAUAAUAAUAAUAGCCUUAGUAAUAAAAUUAGGAAUAACCCCCUUUCACUUCUGAGUUCCAGAAGUAACCCAAGGAACUUCUCUAACAUCUGGCAUACUUCUCCUCACGUGACAAAAACUAACCCCUAUUUCAAUUCAAUUCAAUCAAAUUUUUCCAUCAAUAAAUACAAAUAUUCUCCUAUCUAUCUAUUUUAGUGGGCAGUUGAGGAGGACUCAACCAAACACAACCAUGUAAAAUUUUAGCCUACUCCUCAACCACUCAUAUAGACUGAAUAAUAGCAGUACUAAUGUAUAACCCAAACAUUACCAUUUUUACCCUAAUUAUCUAUUUCAUCCCAACAAUUGCUGCAUUCCAAGUACUCAACCUGAAUUCAAGCACCACAACCUUAUCACUAUCUCACAUUUAAAACAAAUUAACAUGAUUAAUAUCUAUAAUCCUAUCAAUUUUAUUAUCCCUAGGAUGUUUACCCCCAUUAACAGGAUUCCUACCUAAAUGAAUUAUUAUCCAAGAGUUUACAAAAAAUAAGUCUUAUUAUCCCAACCAUCAUAGCCAUCAUAACUUUACUCAACCUAUAUUUUUAUAUAUGCUUAAUUUACUCCACUUCAGUGACAAUAUUCCCCACAUCCAAUAAUAUAAAAAGAAAAUGACAGUUCGAAAACACAAAACCCGUAUUAUUCCUCCCCCCACUCAUCAUCUUCUCUACCUUCCUCCUACCAAUAUCUCCAUUGACACUAUUUAUAAUCUAG
rnacentral:lncRNA from 1 species